rnacentral:rRNA from 1 species
AGUGAACGCUGGCGGUAGGCCUAACACAUGCAAGUCGAACGGCCGCACAGUAAGAGCUUGCUCUUACGGGUGGCGAGUGGCGGACGGGUGAGGAAUACAUCGGAAUCUACUUUUUCGUGGGGGAUAACGUAGGGAAACUUACGCUAAUACCGCAUACGACCUACGGGUGAAAGCAGGGGUUCUUCGGACCUUGCGCGAUUGAAUGAGCCGAUGUCGGAUUAGCUAGUUGGCGGGGUAAAGGCCCACCAAGGCGACGAUCCGUAGCUGGUCUGAGAGGAUGAUCAGCCACACUGGAACUGAGACACAGUCCAGACUCCUACGGGAGGCAGCAGUGGGGAAUAUUGGGCAAUGGGCGCAAGCCUGAUCCAGCCAUACCGCGUGAGUGAAGAAGGCCUUCGGGUUGUAAAGCCCUUUUGUUGGGAAAGAAAAGCAGCAGGUUAAUACCCCGCUGUUCUGACGGUACCCAAAGAAUAAGCACCGGCUAACUUCGUG